UCUGCCUGCAAAGAAUGGCCCAAAGGAAUGGGUGUCACAUGGUUGCUUCAUCCCAGAAAAGACCCCCAAAGUGGGUCCCAGGACCCCCAGUCUCCAUCACACUCCCCAGGCCAUCAGUAU